rnacentral:rRNA from 1 species
UACGGAGGGUGCAAGCGUUAUCCGGAUUCACUGGGUUUAAAGGGUGCGUAGGCGGGCGGGUAAGUCCGUGGUGAAAUCUCUGAGCUUAACUCAGAAACUGCCAUGGAUACUAUUUGUCUUGAAUAUUGUGGAGGUAAGCGGAAUAUGUCAUGUAGCGGUGAAAUGCUUAGAUAUGACAUAGAACACCAAUUGCGAAGGCAGCUUACUACACAGUUAUUGACGCUGAGGCACGAAAGCGUGGGGAUCAAACAGG